UACGGGGGGAGCAAGCGUUGUUCGGAUUUACUGGGCGUAAAGGGCGCGUAGGCGGCCAGUGCAAGUCAGUUGUGAAAUCUCCGAGCUUAACUCGGAAAGGUCAACUGAUACUGUGCGACUAGAGUGCGGAAGGGGCAACUGGAAUUCUCGGUGUAGCGGUGAAAUGCGUAGAUAUCGAGAGGAACACCUGCGGCGAAGGCGGGUUGCUGGGCCGACACUGACGCUGAUGCGCGAAAGCCAGGGGAGCGAACGGG
rnacentral:rRNA from 1 species